rnacentral:rRNA from 1 species
AGUGAACGCUGGCGGUAGACCUAACACAUGCAAGUCGAACGGCAGCACAGUAAGAGCUUGCUCUUACGGGUGGCGAGUGGCGGACGGGUGAGGAAUACAUCGGAAUCUACUUUUUCGUGGGGGAUAACGUAGGGAAACUUACGCUAAUACCGCAUACGACCUACGGGUGAAAGCAGGGGAUCUUCGGACCUUGCGCGAUUGAAUGAGCCGAUGUCGGAUUAGCUAGUUGGCGGGGUAAAGGCCCACCAAGGCGACGAUCCGUAGCUGGUCUGAGAGGAUGAUCAGCCACACUGGAACUGAGACACGGUCCAGACUCCUACGGGAGGCAGCAGUGGGGAAUAUUGGACAAUGGGCGCAAGCCUGAUCCAGCCAUACCGCGUGGGUGAAGAAGGCCUUCGGGUUGUAAGGCCCUUUUGUUGGGAAAGAAAAGCAGCAGGUUAAUACCCCGCUGUUCUGACGGUACCCAAAGAAUAAGCACCGGCUAACUUCGUG